GAUGAAGAACGUAGCGAAAUGCGAUACGUAAUGUGAAUUGCAGAAUUCAGUGAAUCAUCGAAUCUUUGAACGCAUAUUGCGCUCUCUGGUAUUCCGGAGAGCAUGCUUGUUUGAGUAUCAGUAAACACCUCAACUCCCUUUUCUUUUUUGAAAUGGGAGCUGGACUUGAGUGAUCCCAACACUUUUCUCACUGGAAAGUGGCGGGUCACUUGAAAUGCAGGUGCAGCUGGACUUUUCUCUGAGCUAUAAGCCUAUCUAUUUAGUCUGCCUAAAAAACAGAUUAUUACCUUUGCUGCAGCUAACAUAAAGGAGAUGAGUUCUUGUGCUGACUGAUGCAGGAUUCACAGAGACAGCUUUGCGGCUGACUUUGUAAACUCGAUCUCAAAUCAAGUAAGACUACCCGCUGAACUUAAGCAUAUCAAUAAGCGGAGGA
rnacentral:misc_RNA from 1 species